rnacentral:tRNA from 1 species
GGGGUUGUGGCUCAAGUGGUGGAGUGCUUGCCUAGCACACAUGAGGCACUGGGUUUGAUCCUCAGCACCACA